rnacentral:rRNA from 1 species
AACGAACGCUGGCGGCGUGCUUAACACAUGCAAGUCUAGGUGGCUUUGGUCUUCGGAUCAAAGCAAACUGGCGAACGGGUGAGUAACACGUAAGAAACCUGCCCCUAUGUCUGGGAUAACAAUAGGAAACUGUUGCUAAUACCGGAUACGCGGCUUUAUCGCAUGAUGAAGUCGGAAAGUCGGUCAUGCUGACGCUUAGGGAUGGUCUUGCGUACCAUUAGCUUGUUGGUAGGGUAACGGCCUACCAAGGCAACGAUGGUUAGCCGGUCUGAGAGGGCGACCGGUCACACUGGAACUGAGAUACGGUCCAGACUCCUACGGGAGGCAGCAGUGGGGAAUUUUGCGCAAUGGUCGCAAGACUGACGCAGCAACGCCGCGUGGAUGAUGAAGGUCUUCGGAUUGUAAAAUCCUUUUGUAAGGGAAGAAUACCUAUCAUAGUAACUGAUGAUAGUCUGACGGUACCUUACGAAUAAGCUCCGGCUAACUCCGUGCCAGCAGCCGCGGUAAUACGGAGGGAGCGAGCGUUGUUCGGAUUUACUGGGCGUAAAGCGCACGUAGGUGGUUUGUCAAGUCAGUGGUUAAAGUCGUCGGCUCAACCGACGUUAUGCCAUUGAAACUGACAGACUAGAGUGGCGGAGAGGGUAGUAGAAUUCACAGUGUAGCGGUGGAAUGCGUAGAUAUUGUGAGGAAUACCAUUGCGACGCGACUGCCUGCCGCCACUGACCACUGAGUGCGAAAGCGUGGGAGCAAACAGGAUUAGAUACCCUGUAGUCCACGCCGUAACGAUGGAUAACUAGAUGUCGGGCUUAUUGUCGUGUCGUAGCUACGCGU